CUGCCGUGGGCGUUGGAAGAUUGAAGGGGGCUGCUCCUAGUACGAGAGGACCGGAGUGGACGAACCUCUGGUGUUCGGGUUGUGUCGCCAGACGCAUUGCCCGGUAGCUAAGUUCGGGAUCGAUAACCGCUGAAAGCAUCUAAGCGGGAAGCGAGCCUUGAGAUGAGUUCUCCCUGAUACUUUAAGUAUCCUAAAGGGUUGUCGUAGACUACGACGUUGAUAGGCAGGGUGUGUAAGCGUUGUGAGGCGUUGAGCUAACCUGUACUAAUUGCCCGUGAGGCUUAACCAU
rnacentral:rRNA from 1 species